GGAGGGCUGUAGCUUAGUGGUUUAGCAUCUGUUCUGUAAGCAGAUGGUCACAGGUUGAAUCCCUGGCAUUUCCA